rnacentral:rRNA from 1 species
UAAAGCACUUUAGGUGGGGAAGAAGGUGUAUUGUUUAAGAGAUGAUAUAUUUGACUGUACCCACAGAAUAAGCACCGGCUAACUCUGUGC